rnacentral:rRNA from 1 species
GGUUAAGCGACUAAGCGUACACGGUGGAUGCCCUGGCAGUCAGAGGCGAUGAAGGACGUGCUAAUCUGCGAAAAGCGCCGGCGAGGUGAUAUGAACCCUUGACCCGGCGAUGUCCGAAUGGGGAAACCCAGUGUGAUUCGUCACACUAUCGUUAACUGAAUACAUAGGUUAACGAGGCGAACCGGGGGAACUGAAACAUCUAAGUACCCCGAGGAAAAGAAAUCAACCGAGAUUCCCCCAGUAGCGGCGAGCGAACGGGGAGCAGCCCAGAGUCUGAAUCAGCUUGUGUGUUAGUGGAAGCGUCUGGAAAGUCGCACGGUACAGGGUGAAAGUCCCGUACACGAAAAUGCACAGGCUGUGAACUCGAAGAGUAGGGCGGGACACGUGGUAUCCUGUCUGAAUAUGGGGGGACCAUCCUCCAAGGCUAAAUACUCCUGACUGACCGAUAGUGAACCAGUACCGUGAGGGAAAGGCGAAAAGAACCCCGGCGAGGGGAGUGAAAAAGAACCUGAAACCGUGUACGUACAAGCAGUGGGAGCACCUUCGGGUGUGACUGCGUACCUUUUGUAUAAUGGGUCAGCGACUUAUAUUCUGUAGCAAGGUUAACCGUAUAGGGGAGCCGAAGGGAAACCGAGUCUUAACUGGGCGUUAAGUUGCAGGGUAUAGACCCGAAACCCGGUGAUCUAGCCAUGGGCAGGUUGAAGGUUGGGUAACACUAACUGGAGGACCGAACCGACUAAUGUUGAAAAAUUAGCGGAUGACCUGUGGCUGGGGGUGAAAGGCCAAUCAAACCGGGAGAUAGCUGGUUCUCCCCGAAAGCUAUUUAGGUAGCGCCUCGUGAACUCAUCUUCGGGGGUAGAGCACUGUUUCGGCUAGGGGGCCAUCCCGGCUUACCAACCCGAUGCAAACUACGAAUACCGAAGAAUGUUAUCACGGGAGACACACGGCGGGUGCUAACGUCCGUCGUGAAGAGGGAAACAACCCAGACCGCCAGCUAAGGUCCCAAAGUCAUGGUUAAGUGGGAAACGAUGUGGGAAGGCCCAGACAGCCAGGAUGUUGGCUUAGAAGCAGCCAUCAUUUAAAGAAAGCGUAAUAGCUCACUGGUCGAGUCGGCCUGCGCGGAAGAUGUAACGGGGCUAAACCAUGCACCGAAGCUGCGGCAGCGACACUCUGUGUUGUUGGGUAGGGGAGCGUUCUGUAAGCCGUUGAAGGUGGCCUGUGAGGGUUGCUGGAGGUAUCAGAAGUGCGAAUGCUGACAUAAGUAACGAUAAAGCGGGUGAAAAGCCCGCUCGCCGGAAGACCAAGGGUUCCUGUCCAACGUUAAUCGGGGCAGGGUGAGUCGACCCCUAAGGCGAGGCCGAAAGGCGUAGUCGAUGGGAAACAGGUUAAUAUUCCUGUACUUGGUGUUACUGCGAAGGGGGGACGGAGAAGGCUAUGUUAGCCGGGCGACGGUUGUCCCGGUUUAAGCAUGUAGGCGGAGGUUCCAGGUAAAUCCGGUACCUUUUAACGCUGAGGUGUGAUGACGAGGCACUACGGUGCUGAAGUAACAAAUGCCCUGCUUCCAGGAAAAGCCUCUAAGCAUCAGGUAACAUCAAAUCGUACCCCAAACCGACACAGGUGGUCAGGUAGAGAAUACCAAGGCGCUUGAGAGAACUCGGGUGAAGGAACUAGGCAAAAUGGUGCCGUAACUUCGGGAGAAGGCACGCUGAUAUGUAGGUGAAGCCCCUGCGGGUGGAGCUGAAAUCAGUCGAAGAUACCAGCUGGCUGCAACUGUUUAUUAAAAACACAGCACUGUGCAAACACGAAAGUGGACGUAUACGGUGUGACGCCUGCCCGGUGCCGGAAGGUUAAUUGAUGGGGUUAGCGGCAACGCGAAGCUCUUGAUCGAAGCCCCGGUAAACGGCGGCCGUAACUAUAACGGUCCUAAGGUAGCGAAAUUCCUUGUCGGGUAAGUUCCGACCUGCACGAAUGGCGUAAUGAUGGCCAGGCUGUCUCCACCCGAGACUCAGUGAAAUUGAACUCGCUGUGAAGAUGCAGUGUACCCGCGGCAAGACGGAAAGACCCCGUGAACCUUUACUAUAGCUUGACACUGAACACUGGUCCUUGAUGUGUAGGAUAGGUGGGAGGCUUUGAAGCGUGGACGCCAGUCUGCGUGGAGCCGUCCUUGAAAUACCACCCUUUAAUGGCUGGUGUUCUAACGUAGACCCGUAAUCCGGGUUGCGGACAGUGUCUGGUGGGUAGUUUGACUGGGGCGGUCUCCUCCCAAAGAGUAACGGAGGAGCACGAAGGUUAGCUAAUCCUGGUCGGACAUCAGGAGGUUAGUGCAAUGGCAUAAGCUAGCUUGACUGCGAGAGUGACGGCUCGAGCAGGUGCGAAAGCAGGUCAUAGUGAUCCGGUGGUUCUGAAUGGAAGGGCCAUCGCUCAACGGAUAAAAGGUACUCCGGGGAUAACAGGCUGAUACCGCCCAAGAGUUCAUAUCGACGGCGGUGUUUGGCACCUCGAUGUCGGCUCAUCACAUCCUGGGGCUGAAGUAGGUCCCAAGGGUAUGGCUGUUCGCCAUUUAAAGUGGUACGCGAGCUGGGUUUAGAACGUCGUGAGACAGUUCGGUCCCUAUCUGCCGUGGGCGCUGGAGAAUUGAGGGGGGCUGCUCCUAGUACGAGAGGACCGGAGUGGACGCAUCACUGGUGUUCGGGUUGUCAUGCCAAUGGCACUGCCCGGUAGCUAAAUGCGGAAGAGAUAAGUGCUGAAAGCAUCUAAGCACGAAACUUGCCCCGAGAUGAGUUCUCCCUGACUCCUUGAGAGUCCUGAAGGAACGUUGAAGACGACGACGUUGAUAGGUCGGGUGUGUAAGCGCAGCGAUGCGUUGAGCUAACCGAUACUAAUGAACCGUGAGGCUUAACCUU